UACGUAGGGUCCAAGCGUUAUCCGGAAUCACUGGGCGUAAAGCGUGCGUAGGUGGCGUGUUAAGUGUGAUGUUAAAUCGUGUGGCUCAACCAUAUCGAUGUGUCGCAUACUGGCAUGCUAGAGGGAAGCAGAGGCAAGUGGAAUUUGUAGUGUAGCAGUGAAAUGCGUAGAUAUUACAAGGAACACCGAUGGCGAAGGCAGCUUGCUGGGCUUCUUCUGACACUGAGGUACGAAAGCGUGGGGAGCGAACAGG
rnacentral:rRNA from 1 species